GACAGAGGGUGCAAACGUUGUUCGGAAUUACUGGGCGUAAAGCGAGUGUAGGCGGUUUGGAAAGUCGGAUGUGAAAGCCCCGGGCUCAACCCGGGAAGUGCACUCGAUACUCCCAAGCUAGAGUAUCGGAGAGGUUGGUGGAAUUCUCGGUGUAGAGGUGAAAUUCGUAGAUAUCGAGAGGAACACCGGUGGCGAAGGCGGCCAACUGGACGAAUACUGACGCUGAGACUCGAAAGCGUGGGGAGCAAACAGG
rnacentral:rRNA from 1 species